CUCUCGACCCAGCUUACACCUACCCACUCUAUUACUUCUUCUAUAGACCCCGAGCUCCACCUACCCAGUCUAUUCCUUCCUCCUCCCGACCCCGAGCUCCACCUACCCACUCUAUUACUUCUUCCUCUCGACCCCAGGCUACACCUACCCACUCUAUUACUUCCUCCUCCCGACCCCGGGCUCCACCUACCCAGUCUAUUACUUCUUCCUCUCGACCCCGGGCUCCACCUACCCAGUCUAUUACUUCUUCCUCUCGACCCCGGGCUCCACCUACCCAGUCUAUUACUUCUUCCUCUCGACCCCAGGCUCCACCUACCCACUCCAUUCCUACCUCCUCCCGACCCCAGGCUCCACCUACCCACUCCAUUCCUACCUCCUCCCAACCCCAGGCUCCACCUACGCACUCUAUUACUUCUUCCUCUGGACCCCAGGCUCCACCUACCCACUCCAUUCCUUCCUCCUCUCAACCCUGGGCUUCCUCUAUCUACACUAUUCCUUUCUCCUGUCAUUGUUCAAUCCUGUUUCCUCUUAUGCGUAACUCUUUUCGUCCACAGAACACCAGAUUCAGCCAGCUUCGGCCACCUCUCUCAACUCAGAAACCUAUCUCUUUCCCUCCUAUUCAUAGUGCUGUCCCUCCCUGCCGUCCUAACCUACAGGUUUCCCCACCCAAAUCUGGCUCUAUUCCUUCCAAAACGUCCAGCCCCCGCUCUUUUUUUCUCGCUCCUGUUCCCCGUUAUUCCAAUUCCUUCAUUGCUCCUACUCCCCCUUCCAGCCAUUCAGAGACUUGAGAGUCUUAUCCUCCCCAACAUUUCCAGCCAACUCCAACCAGACCUCCGUGAUUCACAAAUCCUAUCCUGGAGAGAUGAUUUCCCUGUGAGUGGGACGGUUCUGCUAUCAUCCAGAAUUGCCAGAACAAUCGAUCCCCAGGAGCUUGACUUGGUGAAUGUUGGGAACUCAAGACAAUGCCAAUCAACAUUUAGCUUGGAGGCCGGCCUGAAUGAAUUCUACCUUUAUAACUGGUUUCUCCAUGGAAUUUGGUCUGUGGCCACAGAGCAAACAGCAAGACGAGGGACACAAGGUAGAGAAGAGUGAGUGGAAAUCAUGUCAUCUGAUCUCUACACGGGAAACGUGAGAAGCUGAUGAUACUUUGCAAGGACAGGCAAAAGAGCCAAGAAUACCCAUGACUCCUUUAAGAACUG
rnacentral:lncRNA from 1 species